rnacentral:rRNA from 1 species
UACGUAGGCAGCGAGCGUUGUUCGGAGUUACUGGGCGUAAAGGGUGUGUAGGCGGUUGUUUAAGUUUGGUGUGAAAUCUCCCGGCUCAACUGGAGGGUGCGCCGAAUACUGAAUGACUAGAGUGCGGGAGAGGAAAGUGGAAUUCCUGGUGUAGCGGUGAAAUGCGUAGAUAUCAGGAGGAACACCGGUGGUGUAGACGGCUUCUGGACCGUAACUGACGCUGAGACACGAAAGACGUGGGUAGCAAACAGG